AGUGAACGCUGGCGGUAGGCCUAACACAUGCAAGUCGAACGGCAGCACAGUAAGAGCUUGCUCUUACGGGUGGCGAGUGGCGGACGGGUGAGGAAUACAUCGGAAUCUACUUUUUCGUGGGGGAUAACGUAGGGAAACUUACGCUAAUACCGCAUACGACCUACGGUUGAAAGCAGGGGAUCUUCGGACCUUGCGCGAUUGAAUGAGCCGAUGUCGGAUUAGCUAGUUGGCGGGGUAAAGGCCCACCAAGGCGACGAUCCGUAGCUGGUCUGAGAGGAUGGUCAGCCACACUGGAACUGAGACACGGUCCAGACUCCUACGGGAGGCAGCAGUGGGGAAUAUUGGGCAAUGGGCGCAAGCCUGAUCCAGCCAUACCGCGUGGGUGAAGAAGGCCUUCGGGUUGUAAAGCCCUUUUGUUGGGAAAGAAAAGCAGCAGGUUAAUACCCCGCUGUUCUGACGGUACCCAAAGAAUAAGCACCGGCUAACUUCGUG
rnacentral:rRNA from 1 species